GACGAACGCUGGCGGCGUGCUUAACACAUGCAAGUCGAACGAAGUGGCGAACGGGUGAGUAACGCGUAAUCAACCUGCCCUUCAGAGGGGGACACCAGUUGGAAAAGACUGCUAAUACCGCAUACUGACGGUGGGGUUUGCGUCUGAUGAGCUAGUUGGCGGGGUAACGGCCCACCAAGGCGAUGAUCGGUAGCCGGUCUGAGAGGGUGAACGGCCACAUUGGGACUGAGACACGGCCCAGACUCCUACGGGAGGCAGCAGUGGGGAAGCUUCCGCAAUGGACGAAAGGCUGACGGAGCAACGCCGCGUGAGUGAUGACGGCCUUCGGGUUGGAAAGCUCUGUUAAUCGGGACGCGGUACCGGAAUAGAAAGCCACGGCUAACUACGUGCCAGCAGCCGCGGUAAUAC
rnacentral:rRNA from 1 species